AUCAGUGACUACUCCUGUUCCGUUGUUUGCCCACUGGACAGAGACAUCACAAGCCCUCCUGCGAGGGGCCACCACUGGUCAGACUGAAGAACCAGAAGUUAGAGGACAUUACUGAGAGAGAGAAGCAAUUACAGCCUCAGGAAGCUGAUGUCUCAGUUGCAAAAGAUGUGGAGACGACAGUGGAAGCAGUAGGCUUGUUUCCCAGUUCUGUGCUGCUGACCCAAGAGGGAUGCUCUUCCUAUGGCGUAUUCUGAGAAAAAGCUACUGGACGGGUGGAGCUUAGGAUUGUACAUGACUGAAAACAGGCAGCAGCCUAGGUUGAAGCAGACCAGCAUGUGUUUUCAGCCAAGGUGGAGUUGCCUGAUGUGUUGAAGAUGGGGGAAGAGGAACAGGCAGAGGCUGCACGGUUAUUUGGAAAGCUCUGAGUUGAGGAAACAAGCGAGGGCCUGGAUGAACAUAAGGGAAUCAAUCUUGGAGCCAUUCAAGUUUAUAUUUUACAACACUGAAGACAUGUGGAAGGGUUUCUUUUCCCCUACUUGUACCCGGCCAAUUACCUCACUCUUCCGAGCUGUCCCGGUUGCGGCUCCACCCCCUCUGCUGAUCCGGGGAGGGCUGCAGACUACCACAUGCCUCCUCCAAUACAAGUUAUGUUGCCAGCCGCUUCUUCUCACCUGAUAGUGAGGAGUUUCACCAGGGGGAUGUAGCGCAUGGGAGGAUCAUGCUGUUCCCCCUCCUCCCUGA